rnacentral:lncRNA from 1 species
GCUGUUAAAAAAAUAAGACACUUAGACCAACAUCUAAGAUACCCCAAUAUUGUUGCUCUUAGUAUAGAGCUACUAUGAUAUAUUCCAGAUGAAUGGAAUAACUUCAACAUUGUUUUGUUGCACGAAGUAAUUACUUGGUUGUACCAGUACUGUCGUUUUUCGAACACGAGUUGCUUUUUUAUGAUAUUAUUUCUUUGGUUUUGUCAUAACAACAAAAUAAAAGUGAUUGGAUGUUGUUGGCUACUUUUAUUUAUGCGACAUGAGAAAAGACAAAUCUCAAAAGAUGGAUUGGGUAUGAUAUAAGGCCGAUUCAUACAAACUGUAGGCCUAUUCUCAACCCUAUCUAUCCUCCCCCCCCCCCCNNNNNNNNNNGUAUGUAUGUAUGUAUGUAUGAUCUGCGGGCGCGAACGCGGCGUUGCUCUUUGAUUUGAUUUGAUUUGAUUAUUAUUUCAAGCUAAGGGUUUCGAAUUCUCUUUCUCACGCAAGUAAUAUCUCUCUCAACUUGUCC